GUGGGGAAUAUUGGACAAUGGGCGCAAGCCUGAUCCAGCCAUGCCGCGUGAGUGAUGAAGGCCUUAGGGUUGUAAAGCUCUUUCAGUGGGGACGAUAAUGACGGUACCCACAGAAGAAGCCCCGGCUAACUUCGUGCCAGCAGCCGCGGUAAUACGAAGGGGGCUAGCGUUGUUCGGAUUUACUGGGCGUAAAGCGCACGUAGGCGGAUCGUUAAGUCGGGGGUGAAAUCCUGGAGCUCAACUCCAGAACUGCCUUCGAUACUGGCGAUCUUGAGUCCGGAAGAGGUGAGUGGAACUCCUAGUGUAGAGGUGGAAUUCGUAGAUAUUAGGAAGAACACCAGUGGCGAAGGCGGCUCACUGGUCCGGUACUGACGCUGAGGUGCGAAAGCGUGGGGAGCAAACAGGAUUAGAUACCCCAGUCC
rnacentral:rRNA from 1 species